GGUUAAGGAAACCCGGAGCCGUAGCGAAAGCGAGUCUUAAUAGGGCGUAUAGUCAGAUGCUGCAGACCCGAAACGAUGUGAUCUAUCCAUGAGCAGGUUGAAACCGGUGUAAGAGCCGGUGGAGGACCGAACAGACGGCCGUUGAAAAGGCUCCUGAUGACUUGUGGAUAGGGGUGAAAGGCCAAUCAAACAUCGUGAUAGCUGGUUCUCUCCGAAAUAUAUUUAGGUAUAGCGUUGUGUAGUAACUUUGUGAGGUAGAGCACUGAAUGGGCUAGGGCAUACACCAAUGUACCAAACCCUAUCAAACUCCGAAUGCGCAAAGUGUAAUCACAGCAGUCAGGCGGCGAGUGAUAAAAUCCGUCGUCAAGAGGGGAACAACCCAGACUAACAGCUAAGGUCCCUAAAUCUCAUUUAAGUGGAAAACGAUGUGAAGUUACUUUAACAACCAGGAGGUUGGCUUAGAAGCAGCCAUCCUUUAAAGAAAGCGUAAUAGCUCACUGGUCUAGUGAUUUCGCGCGGAAAAUAUAACGGGGCUAAAAUGAGUACCGAAGCUUUAGACUUAGUUUUUAACUAAGUGGUAGGAGAGCGUUCUAUUCAGCGUUGAAGGUAUACCGGUAAGGAGUGCUGGAGCGGAUAGAAGUGAGCAUGCAGGCAUGAGUAGCGAUAAAAGGGGUGAGAAUCCCCUUCGCCGUAAACCCAAGGUUUCCUACGCGAUGCUCGUCAUCGUAGGGUUAGUCGGGUCCUAAGCAAAGUCCGAAAGGGGUAUGCGAUGGAAAAUCGGUUAAUAUUCCGAUACCAAUAUUAGUGUGCGAUGGAAGGACGCUUAAAGUUAGUGGAGCUAGCGGAUGGAAGUGCUAGUCUAAGGAUGUAGAUUAAGUGGUAGGCAAAUCCACCACUUUUUAUUCGAGAUCUUAAAGGCUCUCCAAAGUCUUCGGAUAGCGGGGAGAAUCCAUGAUACUAUCGAGCCAAGAAAAGUUUCUAAGUUUAGCUAAUAUUGCCCGUACCGUAAACCGACACAGGUGGGUGGGAUGAGUAUUCUAAGGCGCGUGGAAGAACUCUCUUUAAGGAACUCUGCAAAAUAGCACCGUAUCUUCGGUAUAAGGUGUGCCUAACUUUGUAUUAAGAUUUACUCCCAAAGCAAAGAAGGUUACAACAAAGAGUCCCUCCCGACUGUUUACCAUAAACACAGCACUCUGCUAACUCGUAAGAGGAUGUAUAGGGUGUGACGCCUGCCCGGUGCUCGAAGGUUAAUUGAUGGGGUUAGCAUUAGCGAAGCUCUUGAUCGAAGCCCGAGUAAACGGCGGCCGUAACUAUAACGGUCCUAAGGUAGCGAAAUUCCUUGUCGGUUAAAUACCGACCUGCAUGAAUGGCGUAACGAGAUGGGAGCUGUCUCAAAGAGGGAUCCAGUGAAAUUGUAGUGGAGGUGAAAAUUCCUCCUACCCGCGGCAAGACGGAAAGACCCCGUGGACCUUUACUACAGCUUGACACUGCUAUUUGGAUAAAGAUGCGCAGGAUAGGUGGGAGGCUUUGAUCCAUAGACUCCGGUUUAUGGUGAGCCAUUGUUGAGAUACCACUCUUCUUUAUUUGAGUAGCUAACUAGCUUGAUUAUAUCAUCAAGUAGGACAAUGUCUGGUGGGUAGUUUGACUGGGGCGGUCGCCUCCCAAAAUGUAACGGAGGCUUACAAAGGUUGGCUCAGAACGGUUGGAAAUCGUUCGUAGAGUAUAAAGGCAUAAGCCAGCUUAACUGCAAGACAUACACGUCAAGCAGAGACGAAAGUCGGUCUUAGUGAUCCGGUGGUUCUGUGUGGAAGGGCCAUCGCUCAAAGGAUAAAAGGUACCCCGGGGAUAACAGGCUGAUCUCCCCCAAGAGCUCACAUCGACGGGGAGGUUUGGCACCUCGAUGUCGGCUCAUCGCAUCCUGGGGCUGGAGCAGGUCCCAAGGGUAUGGCUGUUCGCCAUUUAAAGCGGUACGCGAGCUGGGUUCAGAACGUCGUGAGACAGUUCGGUCCCUAUCUGCCGUGGGCGUAAGAAGAUUGAGGAGAGUUGACCCUAGUACGAGAGGACCGGGUUGAACCAGCCACUGGUGUAUCAGUUGUUCUGCCAAGAGCAUCGCUGAGUAGCUAAGCUGGGAUGUGAUAAGAGCUGAAAGCAUCUAAGCUCGAAGCCAACUCCAAGAUGAAUCUUCUUUUAAGAGCUCUAGUAGACUACUAGUUUGAUAGGCUGGGUGUGUAAGUGAUGAAAGUCAUUUAGCUGACCAGUACUAAUAGCUCGUUUGCUUAUCUUUAU
rnacentral:rRNA from 1 species